UACGUAGGGCGCAAGCGUUAUCCGGAAUUAUUGGGCGUAAAGAGCUCGUAGGCGGUUUGUCGCGUCUGCCGUGAAAGUCCGGGGCUCAACUCCGGAUCUGCGGUGGGUACGGGCAGACUAGAGUGCAGUAGGGGAGACUGGAAUUCCUGGUGUAGCGGUGAAAUGCGCAGAUAUCAAGUGGAACACCAGUGGCGAAGGCGAGUCUCUGGACAUUUCCUGACGCUGAGGCACGAAAGCCAGGGGAGCAAACGGG
rnacentral:rRNA from 1 species